GUGGCUCGGAGCAGCUUUGUCAACCCUGAAGCCAGGUUUCCAUACAAAUGUAUCAAACGUUUUAAUUGCAGUUUAAGUGAAUGUGCAAAAGAAAAGCUGAAGCUGAAGGUGAAGGUGCCGAGAUGACAUAUUUUAAAAAGCACCAGUCGGACCUCAAACUGGACAUAUCUGCAGUUACUCGAGACGGGAUGCAGGAGCGGCUGUGAACCAGCAGGUGGAGCUGUUGUUCUGUGUUCAGCAGGCAGAUGAUGAAGCCUUACAUCCUGCAGUACCACUGUCACACCACUGGAUGGCACACACAGGAACACAAGACAUGAAUAUAAAGGAGUUACGUCACUAUAUUUUGCGAUCUGUACUUUCACUUUGGCAGUAUAGGACUAAUACUCUUUUGUAUAUAGUUGUGUUUAGUAAAGGCUCUCAAAAGUUACUUCACUGCUGCAGAGAUGAAGAAGAGAGAAAAUUAGCUUUUGAUGGAAGUGCUCAGAACUCUCGACAGAUUCAACUUUUGAUCACAGCUUCAUUUCAGGGAGUCCCAAAGCAAAUAAACAUUUACUCAGAUGUUUUAAGGUUGUUUUUUCUUUGACAUUUUUGCCUCAGUAGUUGAUGGAACUUGGGAACAGUCAGUACAGAACCAUAUAUUAUUAUUAUACAGUAUACUUUAUACCUCAAACAGGUUUGUAUUGUUGUGUAGUCUAUGAUCUCCAGGAGUAGCCUAAUUUUGUCUGACUGUGGGCCACAUACAGAAAAGAAUUAUAAAAUAUAAUAUAUCAGUUACACUGUAAUAACUUCUUGUUUCUAGAGAACCCCCAAUGUGUAAUAGAAAAUGCAUCUUCUAUCAAAAUAACAGUUUAAUGUUUAACAUUAGUGGUUCAUUAGUGUGCCCACAUAUUUCAAAAAGUAUUUCUGUAUCUGCUGCUCUUAAAUUAAAGUUUAAAAUUUAAAUUUAAACUCUAAUACAGUGCUUGGCCCAAAUGUCCACUAAAGAUUAUGGUAUAUGUAAAUCUGUAAAUAUUGGUUGUAAAUACAUUUUGGUUGUUCCUGAUGUUGUAUUAGAUAUAAAUCUGUAAGUCUAAUAUUAAGAUGUAACACACAGAAAAGGCAGAAAUUGUAAAAUAUUGUUUUCUGUGCCAAGAGUUGAAGACCGAGGUUGUGUCUGUCUGUGAAACGUGUUUGGACUGGGAUGUGCAAUGUACAUACAAUUUAUUAUAAAUAUGCUAAAGCCA